UUUCUAUCUACAAUGUUCAAUCCCAACUUUGAUGAGUCCUAGUACGCAAGGAAUGGUCUCAGCGAUGCUCGACUAUAUUGGCCCCAUCGACGUAAUCAACUUCUGGCUGCUGCAAAGAAGGAGAACAAAAGGUUUAGGGAUUAAUAAGGU
rnacentral:rRNA from 25 species